rnacentral:lncRNA from 1 species
GAGAGAAAUACAGACUGAAGAUAAUUGGUUACCCAUCUAGAAAGAGUAUAUGAAGUCUGGGGGUAAGACCUGCAGUAAUUUCCCUUAAGCCUGACCUAGCUCCUGAGUUUGAUAGAGAUUAUGUGCCCAACUCAACCUCUCUACGUGGAUGUCAUCUUCAUCAGUGCAUCUUGUCAGUUCUAUCUAAAGCAUAGAGGUAUACAUUUUGCUCUGUCUUCAUUGCCAGCAUCCCAGUUGAGGUGAGCGCCCU